GUGCAAUAGGGAUGGAAGCGGCAUCCUUUUUUAUACAGCGGCGAGGGACGAGCCGUUUCAUAAAAAAGAUACAGCGGACAGCCCGGCCCGGG
rnacentral:sRNA from 1 species